rnacentral:rRNA from 2 species
UUCGCAAUGCCCGAAAGGGUGACGAAGCGACGCCGCGUGCGGGAAGAAGGCCUUCGGGUUGUAAGCCGCUGUCGGGAGUUAAGAAAUGUAAGGAUGUUAAUAGCAUCUUUGCUUGACUAAGGCUCCGGAGGAAGCCACGGCUAACUCUGUGCCAGCAGCCGCGGUAAUACAGAGGCGGCAAGCGUUGUUCGGAAUUAUUGGGCGUAAAGAGCACGUAGGCGGCUAUGUAAGUCGGUUGUGAAAGCCUUCCGCUCAACGGGAGAACAGCAUCCGAUACUGCAUGGCUUGAGUGCGGGAGGGGAGAGUGGAACUUCUGGUGGAGCGGUGAAAUGCGUAGAUAUCAGAAGGAACGCCGGCGGCGAAAGCGGCUCUCUGGCCCAUAACUGACGCUGAGUGUGCGAAAGCUAGGGGAGCAAACGGGAUUAGAUACCCCGGUAGUCCUAGCCGUAAACGAUGGGCACUAAGUAGAGGGGUUUU